rnacentral:rRNA from 1 species
CGGACGGGUGAGUAACACGUGGAUAACCUACCUAUAAGACUGGGAUAACUUCGGGAAACCGGAGCUAAUACCGGAUAAUAUUUUGAACCGCAUGGUUCAAAAGUGAAAGACGGUCUUGCUGUCACUUACAGAUGGAUCCGCGCUGCAUUAGCUAGUUGGUAAGGUAACGGCUUACCAAGGCAACGAUGCAUAGCCGACCUGAGAGGGUGAUCGGCCACACUGGAACUGAGACACGGUCCAG